GACGAACGCUGGCGGCGUGCUUAAUACAUGCAAGUCGAACGGAAAGGCCCUGCUUUUGUGGGGUGCUCGAGUGGCGAACGGGUGAGUAACACGUGAGUAACCUGCCCUUGACUUUGGGAUAACUUUAGGAAACUGGGGCUAAUACCGGAUAGGAGCUCCUGCUGCAUGGUGGGGGUUGGAAAGUUUCGGCGGUUGGGGAUGGACUCGCGGCUUAUCAGCUUGUUGGUGGGGUAGUGGCUUACCAAGGCUUUGACGGGUAGCCGGCCUGAGAGGGUGACCGGCCACAUGGGGACUGAGAGACGGCCCAGACUCCUACGGGAGGCAGCAGUGGAGAAUAUUGCACAAUGGGCGGAAGCCUGAUGCAGCAACGCCGCGUGCGGGAUGACGGCCUUCGAGUGGUAAACCGCUUUCGCCUUUGACGAAGCGUGAGUGACGGUAAUGGGUAAAGAAGCACCGGCUAACUACGUG
rnacentral:rRNA from 1 species